AGUGAACGCUGGCGGUAGGCCUAACACAUGCAAGUCGAACGGCAGCACAGUAAGAGCUUGCUCUUACGGGUGGCGAGUGGCGGACGGGUGAGGAAUACAUCGGAAUCUACUUUUUCGUGGGGGAUAACGUAGGGAAACUUACGCUAAUACCGCAUACGACCUACGGGUGAAAGCAGGGGAUCUUCGGACCUUGCGCGAUUGAAUGAGCCGAUGUCGGAUUAGCUAGUUGGCGGGGUAAAGGCCCACCAAGGCGACGAUCCGUAGCUGGUCUGAGAGGAGGAUAGGCGACACUGGAACGGAGACACGGUCAAGACGACUAAGGGAGGCAGCAGUGGGGAAUAUUGGACAAUGGGCGCAAGCCUGAUCCAGCCAUACCGCGUGGGUGAAGAAGGCCUUCGGGUUGUAAAGCCCUUUUGUUGGGAAAGAAAAGCAGCAGGUUAAUACCCCGCUGUUCUGACGGUACCCAAAGAAUAAGCACCGGCUAACUUCGUG
rnacentral:rRNA from 1 species